rnacentral:rRNA from 1 species
AACGAACGCUGGCGGCAUGCCUAACACAUGCAAGUCGAACGGCAGCACGGGAGCAAUCCUGGUGGCGAGUGGCGAACGGGUGAGUAAUAUAUCGGAACGUGCCCGGUCGUGGGGAUAACGUAGCGAAAGCUACGCUAAUACCGCAUACGAUCUACGGAUGGAAAGCGGGGGAUCGCAAGACCUCGCGCGAUUGGAGCGGCCGAUAUCAGAUUAGGUAGUUGGUGAGGUAAAGGACUCGACCAAAGGCCGACGAUCUGUAGCUGGUCUGAGAGGACGACCAGCCA